CAUCUGGUCUCCAGAAAAGGGUUACUGAGUUUCCUAAGACGAAGGUAGAUCCCAUUCUUGGACUUCAACACAAGUCGAGGGAUGAGGAUGGGGACCCUGGUGGGAUCUGGCAG